rnacentral:rRNA from 1 species
UUAAAUUGAAGAGUUUGAUCAUGGCUCAGAUUGAACGCUGGCGGCAGGCCUAACACAUGCAAGUCGAACGGUAACAGGAAGCAGCUUGCUGCUUUCGCUGACGAGUGGCGGACGGGUGAGUAAUGUCUGGGAAACUGCCUGAUGGAGGGGGAUAACUACUGGAAACGGUAGCUAAUACCGCAUAACGUCGCAAGACCAAAGAGGGGGACCUUCGGGCCUCUUGCCAUCGGAUGUGCCCAGAUGGGAUUAGCUUGUUGGUGGGGUAACGGCUCACCAAGGCGACGAUCCCUAGCUGGUCUGAGAGGAUGACCAGCCACACUGGAACUGAGACACGGUCCAGACUCCUACGGGAGGCAGCAGUGGGGAAUAUUGCACAAUGGGCGCAAGCCUGAUGCAGCCAUGCCGCGUGUAUGAAGAAGGCCUUCGGGUUGUAAAGUACUUUCAGCGGGGAGGAAGGGAGUAAAGUUAAUACCUUUGCUCAUUGACGUUACCCGCAGAAGAAGCACCGGCUAACUCCGUGCCAGCAGCCGCGGUAAUACGGAGGGUGCAAGCGUUAAUCGGAAUUACUGGGCGUAAAGCGCACGCAGGCGGUUUGUUAAGUCAGAUGUGAAAUCCCCGGGCUCAACCUGGGAACUGCAUCUGAUACUGGCAAGCUUGAGUCUCGUAGAGGGGGGUAGAAUUCCAGGUGUAGCGGUGAAAUGCGUAGAGAUCUGGAGGAAUACCGGUGGCGAAGGCGGCCCCCUGGACGAAGACUGACGCUCAGGUGCGAAAGCGUGGGGAGCAAACAGGAUUAGAUACCCUGGUAGUCCACGCCGUAAACGAUGUCGACUUGGAGGUUGUGCCCUUGAGGCGUGGCUUCCGGAGCUAACGCGUUAAGUCGACCGCCUGGGGAGUACGGCCGCAAGGUUAAAACUCAAAUGAAUUGACGGGGGCCCGCACAAGCGGUGGAGCAUGUGGUUUAAUUCGAUGCAACGCGAAGAACCUUACCUGGUCUUGACAUCCACGGAAGUUUUCAGAGAUGAGAAUGUGCCUUCGGGAACCGUGAGACAGGUGCUGCAUGGCUGUCGUCAGCUCGUGUUGUGAAAUGUUGGGUUAAGUCCCGCAACGAGCGCAACCCUUAUCCUUUGUUGCCAGCGGUCCGGCCGGGAACUCAAAGGAGACUGCCAGUGAUAAACUGGAGGAAGGUGGGGAUGACGUCAAGUCAUCAUGGCCCUUACGACCAGGGCUACACACGUGCUACAAUGGCGCAUACAAAGAGAAGCGACCUCGCGAGAGCAAGCGGACCUCAUAAAGUGCGUCGUAGUCCGGAUUGGAGUCUGCAACUCGACUCCAUGAAGUCGGAAUCGCUAGUAAUCGUGGAUCAGAAUGCCACGGUGAAUACGUUCCCGGGCCUUGUACACACCGCCCGUCACACCAUGGGAGUGGGUUGCAAAAGAAGUAGGUAGCUUAACCUUCGGGAGGGCGCUUACCACUUUGUGAUUCAUGACUGGGGUGAAGUCGUAACAAGGUAACCGUAGGGGAACCUGCGGUUGGAUCACCUCCUUACCUUAAAGAAGC